rnacentral:piRNA from 1 species
UCGUGCGAGGUCAUGGUUGGCAUAAU